UACGUAGGGUGCGAGCGUUGCCCGGAUUUAUUGGGCGUAAAGGGCGCGUAGGCGGCCACGCACGUCCGUUGUGAAAUCGCCCGGCUCAACUGGGCGGGGUCGGCGGAUACGGCGUGGCUGGAGCAAGCUAGGGGGCAAUGGAAUUCCCGGUGUAGUGGUGGAAUGCGUAGAUAUCGGGAGGAACACCAGUGGCGAAGGCGGUUGCCUGGAGCUUUGCUGACGCUGAGGCGCGAAAGCGUGGGGAGCAAACAGG
rnacentral:rRNA from 1 species